rnacentral:rRNA from 1 species
GAAGAAGGGGGCUAGCGAUGUUCGGAAUUACUGGGCGUAAAGCGCGCGCAGGCGGCUUUUUAAGACAGAGGUGAAAUCCCGGGGCUUAACCCCGGAACUGCCCUUGGGACUGGAAGGCUUGAGUCCGGGAGAGGUGAGUGGAAUUCUCAGUGUAGAGGUGAAAUUCGUAGAUAUUUGGAAGAACACCGGUGGCGAAGGCGGCUCGCUGGACCGUUUCUGACGCUGAGGCGCGAAAGCGUGGGGAGCAAACAGG